UUGUUGCGUGAGGGAUAGUAGUGGAGCUCUUUUUUAUCUGGACUUUUUGGUCUAGAUAAAAAAAGCGGGAACGUAUAGCCCGACCCGCA
rnacentral:sRNA from 1 species